UUCGCAAUGCCCGAAAGGGUGACGAAGCGACGCCGCGUGCGGGAAGAAGGCCUUCGGGUUGUAAACCGCUGUCGGGAGUUAAGAAAUGCAAGGGUGUUAAUAGUAUCCUUGCUUGACUAAGGCUCCGGAGGAAGCCACGGCUAACUCUGUGCCAGCAGCCGCGGUAAUACAGAGGCGGCAAGCGUUGUUCGGAAUUAUUGGGCGUAAAGAGCACGUAGGCGGCUGUGUAAGUCGGUUGUGAAAGCCUUCCGCUCAACGGGAGAACGGCAUCCGAUACUGCAUGGCUUGAGUGCGGGAGGGGAGAGUGGAACUUCUGGUGGAGCGGUGAAAUGCGUAGAUAUCAGAAGGAACACCGGCGGCGAAGGCGACUCUCUGGCCCGUAACUGACGCUGAGUGUGCGAAAGCUAGGGGAGCAAACGGGAUUAGAUACUCCGGUAGUCCUAGCCGUAAACGAUGGGCACUAAGUAGAGGGGUUUU
rnacentral:rRNA from 1 species